GGGCUUCUACACAGGAUUGCUGCUGGAACAAAUCAGGAAUUCUCAAGAAGAAGGAGCUAGUGCAUAGGCAAUAUCUUACACGGAUCUGCUGACAGGGGGCUACAGCUACGAGGUAUGAAUGUUAUACAUACAUUGUCAACAUUACACAGGGAAUAUAUGUACAGAGCUUGAUUUUUAAAAUGGAAUUUGAAUUUAUAUGCAGGAAACUGAAAACAUUAACGUACAAGAUCUUGGGAUGAGCAUGAUAGACACAGGCAGAUAUGAGCAUGGAACCAGAGUAAUAGAUGUAUCAACAACAAUAUCACAGAGCGAAUACAUAGAAGGAGAAGAUAUUGGAGAAGCUGAAGUAUACAAUGAUGAUGGUGUAUGCAAUCAAGAUAUCUUUGAAAACAUGCAAUUAGAAGAGGUAAUUUGAAAAAAA